UGUUUCAAAAACGAUCUCUCUCCCUCACAGAGGUAGAGAUAAAAUCUGUGUAAAUUUGUGGGCGCAUAUUGUCAUACAGUACAGUAAUCUUUCAGUAUCUGUCUUGCCAGAUCAUGUGCUCCACUAUUUUUGUAAAUCAAGUGCAGAUUGUAUGCUGCUUCUCUGCGUAGAUCACAAUAACCUGGUUUUCUAUUUUCCACGGGAUCUGGGUUUUCAUUAGGAAGCUUUGGGAUGGGAUAAUCGUCUUCAUGAGUGUCAAGUACCCUUUGAUAAUAUAUGGCAGCUUCAGAAACAAGACCAACAUGAUGACAAGCUCGACCAAAAUUAAACAGUGCUUCCUGACUGUUUCCUGAGAGCCUCAAAUUAUUGUACAGGAAAGCCAUUCCUUGUAAUACACACUGAUGCUUGUUCAGAAGUCUGAAUCCAAGAGCUACAUUUACUAAAGCACUUCCGAUACAGAGAUUUAUCAACUGAUUAUCUGGCAUCAGCUUAUAAGCUUCUAAAUACUCUCUAGCCGCAUCUUGAUGAUGGCUGAUCGUGGUAAACUGAUGACCAGCAAUAAUAAUUGGUGGUAUGCAAUCUUUGUGUUUGACACGCAUAUGGUUCAAGAACUUGCUAUGUUUCGAAUGCCGAUUAUCUAGUCUUGAUAUUACUUUGUAGUAGCAAUUCCAUGCUGCAAAGCUGUAAGGAUGCUGACUGACAAUGGAACGUGCACAAUCG
rnacentral:misc_RNA from 1 species